rnacentral:rRNA from 1 species
CAGUCGCCACGGUAAUACGAAGGGUGCAAGCGUUAAUCGGAAUUACUGGGCGUAAAGCGUGCGUAGGCGGUGAGUUAAGUCUGCUGUGAAAUCCCCGGGCUCAACCUGGGAAUGGCAGUGGAUACUGGCUCGUUAGAGUGUGUCAGAGGAUGGUGGAAUUCCCGGUGUAGCGGUGAAAUGCGUAGAGAUCGGGAGGAACAUCAGUGGCGAAGGCGGCCAUCUGGGACAACACUGACGCUGAGGCACGAAAGCGUGGGGAGCAAACAGGAUUAGAUACCCGCGUAGUCCCUGUCUCUUAUAC